AUUUUUUGGUCAAGUACAAGGCAAGCGACAACAAAGACAGAUUGAAAAGCUGGACAACUUAUUCUGCACUAAUUAGCUGUUUGGAAUGCUGUUAUUGGAAUUUUGGCAAGCUUAGACUGAUUAUAGGAGUAUCAGUAUAUGCGGUGCCCUGAUGACCAAAAUCCAUUCAAUUUGUUCCUUCGUAUGGUGGUUGCCAGUUGCCAAUAUGCAUCUUGUGUCAAGAACAAAUAUCGAUCAAGAUUUAUUACUUUUUAUUUUGUAUCAUAUUAUUGGAAAUUCAAUUUCAACAAUUAUUUUGUAUAAGGAUUUGAGAGUAACUUUAAGGUUAUUCUAAAG
rnacentral:lncRNA from 1 species